GGUCAGAUGUGAACUGUGUCCUUGGCUGAGCUCACAUCCCCAUCUCUGGGCCACCAUCCUGGCAGGUCCCUUUCUCAUUCUCAGUUGACACAAGGAUUUCUAGUCACGGGGGAUUUUUGCUGACUUUUAUAAAAGCAAACUGAUCCUUUAACUCUCUCUACAAUCGCCAAACUCUGGAAAAAGAGCCCCAGAAUUAAUUAAGGCACAUUUGAGGAUGCUCGUCAAACUGCAGGUCCUCAACGGAUCCUGCUCAUUCUUCUUGCAAAAUUUGAACAGAGUGUGGCCACUUCCAGCCCUGUCCACUGUGUCCACUGUCACCGUCACUCACUGCUGGGACUCCUGCCCAGGACUCGCUGGUCUUUCUGUUUCUAGAGCGUGAACUCUGCCCCCCCUCCAGGAUCCUGUCCCUGCAGCCUCUGCUGGGCUCUCUGCAACGCUCCCCGGGCCCCUCUAAGAUGCCACGUGGACUGUGAUCCCUGGGAGGACAGGCUCCCCGUUCUCCCACACUGUCGUAACCCCAUCCUGGUGGUUCACUAAACCCAGGCCACCGGCCUGUGUGUGCUUCUCUGACCUGCCAAUCAUGCUCCUGCCCAAGGCUCCGCCUUGCUCUCCCCGCCAGCCCACCAGCCGUCUCCUUUCUGUUCUCUGUUCAGCAUCUUCUUCCUUCGCCACUUUCCCCAUGAGCCACAUUUUGAGCAAUUCUUACAGUCCCUGUUCCUUAUCACCAUCCCUGUUCCUUAUCGCCCUCUCUGUGCCAUGGUCCCCAACCCUUCCUUUCUUUUUCACCCAUCCCCAGCACGUAUCAUCCGGGAGGUACUGUGGACUUGGAGAGGUGGGGCCCAGGGGAGGUCUUCAGGUCACUGGGCACAGGACCCUGGCCUCACAGUGUCUCUCCAUUCCCUGCUCAAGCUGGGGCUACCUGCCCUGACACACACUCCCAUCAUCACCAUGCAGUGCCCUCCUCAGAGGCCCAGCCACAGGGGCUGCCCAAAUUGCACCCGAAUGUCUCUGACUGUGAGUCAAUAAAUCUUUUCUAAAUUA